UAGGUAGUUUAGUUUAUUUAAAACUUUUGACUGUUAAUUAAAUAAAGGGUUAUUGCCCUCUAGCUAA
rnacentral:tRNA from 1 species